GGUGCAAACGUUGUUCGGAAUUACUGGGCGUAAAGCGUGUGUAGGCGGUCUCAUAAGUCGGAUGUGAAAGCCCCGGGCUCAACCCGGGAAGUGCAUUCGAAACUGCGAGGCUAGAGUAUCGGAGAGGGUAGUGGAAUUCUCGGUGUAGAGGUGAAAUUCGUAGAUAUUAGGAAGAACACCAGUGGCGAAGGCGGCUCACUGGCCCGGUACUGACGCUCAUGUGCGAAAGCGUGGGGAGCAAACAGG
rnacentral:rRNA from 1 species